AACCAGCACCUCAAGUGGUCAGGAUGAUUAUUGGGCCUAAAGCAUCCGUAGCCGGCUCAGUAAGUUUUCGGUUAAAUCUGUGCGCUCAACGUACAGGCUGCCGGGAAUACUGCAGAGCUAGGGAGUGGGAGAGGUAGACGGUACUCGGGAGGAAGUGGUAAAAUGCUUUGAUCUUUCGAUGACCACCUGUGGCGAAGGCGGUCUACCAGAACACGUCCGACGGUGAGGGAUGAAAGCUGGGGGAGCAAACCGG
rnacentral:rRNA from 1 species